GGCAGUGUGGCAUAGUGGUAAGGAGCAGGGCUCGUAACCGAAAGGUUGCUGGUUCAAUUCCCUGCAGAGACACUGCUG